AUCCGCAUUUUGUUCUUCAUAAACAGAAACCUGGACGCCUGCGGGAUGUCGGUGGCUGGGUAGUGCAGGCCAAGAUACGGCUCCAGAUCGGACCUCCUGCACUCAGAAAUGACCUCACCGUGCUCAUCCUCAUGGAACUUGUACGCCAUGACCCGGUCAUAGCCCGUGAGCUCGCUCACCUCACGGACAAGCACAUCGCACAGCAACGACAGGUUCCCGCUGGGCAGCGACUGCAGCCUGGAGAUGGCCUUGGCGGCGAGCUUGUACGACUUAAGCGCGCCCGCGGCCGUGACUGGCACGUCUGCUGGGU
rnacentral:misc_RNA from 1 species